rnacentral:rRNA from 1 species
UGGGGAAUCUUGCGCAAUGGGCGAAAGCCUGACGCAGCCAUGCCGCGUGAAUGAUGAAGGUCUUAGGAUUGUAAAAUUCUUUCACCGGGGACGAUAAUGACGGUACCCGGAGAAGAAGCCCCGGCUAACUUCGUGCCAGCAGCCGCGGUAAUACGAAGGGGGCUAGCGUUGCUCGGAAUUACUGGGCGUAAAGGGAGCGUAGGCGGACAUUUAAGUCAGGGGUGAAAUCCCGGGGCUCAACCUCGGAAUUGCCUUUGAUACUGGGUGUCUUGAGUGUGAGAGAGGUAUGUGGAACUCCGAGUGUAGAGGUGAAAUUCGUAGAUAUUCGGAAGAACACCAGUGGCGAAGGCGACAUACUGGCUCAUUACUGACGCUGAGGCUCGAAAGCGUGGGGAGCAAACAGGAUUAGAUACCCUGGUAGUCCACGCCGUAAACGAUGAUUGCUAGUUGCCGGGAUGCAUGCAUUUCGGUGACGCAGCUAACGCAUUAAGCAAUCCGCCUGGGGAGUACGGUCGCAAGAUUA